rnacentral:lncRNA from 1 species
GCUUUUGAAUAUCUUGUGUAAAUCAGUAAAAUGUCAAGUACUCUAUUAAAACCUUGGUAGUAGAAAGGUUUUAUUUUUGGUUAUAAUUUGUUUGAGUGGAGAACCUACUGGGGUAGCUCCCACUGACUUUAGUGCAUUCAAGAUCAGACUUGAUGGGCUGUUUCUUCUGAGAUUUCCUGGUGUAUCUCAAAAAAUAAAGCUGAGAAUGAUCUUGCCUGUCAUACUGAACUGCACAUGAUGGUGAUUUCCGA